CUCUGUGACUGGCUUGCUUGAUGGUUAGGGUCUGAUCGCUGCCUGAGACACCAUAUCGGUACUCCUCAGAGUUGAUUCUGCGUGUGAAAAACAUAAAAAGAAAAAAAGUCAACUUCUUCAUGCAAUGUGAUCACAGGAUCUGGUUUGCCACUGAAAGGAAUCUUGAUGCUGACCACUUCACCUCGGAGAGCAUGAACUGCUCCCAUGCCUUCAAGAGUUUUAGGAUGGCAUCAACUGUUCCAAAAACAUUGCUGAGCUGGACUUUGUAUUUCCCAGCAUGAGUCUUACGUUGGACAUUCUUCAUGACAAGUGGGUAACCAGGAUGGAACUGCGGUGUUGCUUGCAGGAGAAGCUUACUACUGGUUUCUACUUCUCCAACCUCAUUGGUGGCUAUGCAGGCACUGUCUCCAGACUGUCUAUAUUCAACCCAGUAUCCAAGAAUUUCUUUACCACCAUCACAUUCAGGUUUCUCCCACUGUAGAGUGACACUAUCUUUGGAUAUUGAAAGAAUCUCAAGUUCUCCUGGUUGGCUUGGUUUAUCUGAAAUAUUUUAAAAUAAUGAAAAGGGAGUCAGCUUUACUGGUGAAAUAAAAGGACCAAACAU
rnacentral:lncRNA from 1 species